UAUUUGAAUGACUGUAAAGUAUUUAGUUUGCAGACAAAGGGCUGCCGUGCAUGAACAGGGUGUGGUGCAGCGCUGCAGGCUGUUGACUUUCCUCUCCUAUUUAAGCCGCCACAUACAGUCUCUUCUGCACCGUGUGGACUCAGUUUUGCAUUGGAACAACAGACACUCUGAAAAUGGAGAGAGAAUUUUCCGGUCUGGAAGUUGCCGUGGCUGCCAUGUUCGGCGUCUACAUGUCACGCAGAGGACCAGAUGGAAAACUGAGCAAAGAUGCCUUUUUAAAAUUAGUGAAGGAAGAAAUGUCAAUGUACGAUCAGGGAAUGGGAGACGAGAUGUUCAAAAAUAUUGACCAGAACAAGGACGGAUCUGUGGAGUUCAAGGAGUUUGCAAUGAUGGUUGCCAUGAUCGCCUCAAGUAACUACGAAAUCCUGGAGUCAGCAGUGAAGCAAAUGGAAAAUAAAAAGAAAUGUAUAGAAGAAAUAAAGAAAUAAAGAAAUAAAAACGUGCAAACCAUUGCUGAAGAAAUAAAAACAUCAUCAUCCGACUUACUUCAGAAUCAGAAAUACUUUUUACUUUUAUUGAUCUCCAAGGGGAAAUUGUCUUUUUUGGUUUCACAAUGAAGUAAUAAAAGCUUGUUUUAUGCCAA